rnacentral:rRNA from 1 species
CCUAGGAAUCUGCCUGGUAGUGGGGGACAACGUUUCGAAAGGAACGCUAAUACCGCAUACGUCCUACGGGAGAAAGCAGGGGACCUUCGGGCCUUGCGCUAUCAGAUGAGCCUAGGUCGGAUUAGCUAGUUGGUGAGGUAAUGGCUCACCAAGGCGACGAUCCGUAACUGGUCUGAGAGGAUGAUCAGUCACACUGGAACUGAGACACGGUCCAGACUCCUACGGGAGGCAGCAGUGGGGAAUAUUGGACAAUGGGCGAAAGCCUGAUCCAGCCAUGCCGCGUGUGUGAAGAAGGUCUUCGGAUUGUAAAGCACUUUAAGUUGGGAGGAAGGGCUGUAACUUAAUACUUUGCUGUUUUGACGUUACCGACAGAAUAAGCACCGGCUAACUCUGUGCCAGCAGCCGCGGUAAUACAGAGGGUGCAAGCGUUAAUCGGAAUUACUGGGCGUAAAGCGCGCGUAGGUGGUUUG